UAUUGAUCCUCUCUUGAUCCUUGAGAGAGGGAUGUGUUGUCCUCGUAUUCCAUUUGUUGAUGGAAUCAGAGUAUUUUGGAGGUACUCGUGAGAAGUCAUACGCGUAUUGUCUUUGACUGAUAUUACAGUGAUUCUACCGUUGAUUCAAAAACAUAUCCUAUUUUGUAUUGGUGUCACAACGGCAAACGUAAUAUACCGGUCACAGUUCAGGUAUGGGACUGUCUGGGUUCUUCACUAAGGACGGACCUUGUUCGGGAACAUGUCGGUGAUGGAUCCGUAGGAGCGACCGACAUCAGUAGGUCCAGGUGUUUGGGUCUUAGUGGGUACAAGAGCUCUGCUCUUCUGGAACCUGUGUGGUUCUAGUCGAGACUGUCGACGUCGGAGUACCCCUCUUAAGAGCGUAAAAGUGUGAAAUUUCACCCCUGUGACUCCCGGGUUGGGAAGCUUGCGGUCACGUGUGAUGCCAAUACCUCCCUUGUUCGUCUUUGAUUAUACUAUUUAUUUUACACAUCUCCAGCAAAAUAUGUUCCAGUGAUUGUUACCUUGUUUAUCCUUUGGAUUCAGUUCGUUUGUUGAUCUACAACAUUUUACCAUUGCUUUUGUUGAAUAAUGAAGUAUCUGCUUGCUGAGUAUGAUUUAUCGUACUCACCCUUGUCUCCUCCGUCUUUUUAGAUGCAGCCGAUGUAACUUAAGUAUGCCCAGAAGAUGUCAUCCAAUAUUAGGUUGGACCAGUGGGUAGGAAGUGACUAGAGAAUUUAAUGUAGUUUGCCUAUUUGUAAAUGUAAAGAAAUUUGUAAACCAAAUAUAUGAGAUUUUGUGAUCCACUGCUGGUUUAUGCCUGCUUUAUCAUGCCUUGCGUGACAAUAGGCCUCUGGUCUAUAGGCGCGCGGCGGCUGUCUCGCCUAGGCCCGGUCUCGGGGCAUGACAGUUAAAGUGAUAUCAGAGCUCUAGGUUUUUAGGUUGCACUGGGAUAAAGGGGUAGAUCGUCGAAUAUAUUUGUGUUGUGUGACAGCUAUGAAGAUUUUAUUUUCAUAUCUUGUCUCAACUAGUUUGUGUGUUGGUACUCAUGAAUAGUUUCAACAGAUAUCCAGGCAAAUAAAAAGAAUAGUGUACACAUUAUUGAUGAAAUUUGAGGAUGCAUGGAAAUAAAUAGACAUCUUGUUAGAUUAAUACAUGACUUAAUAUUUGUGUAGAUUUUCUUGUUUAAGACAACCGGUAAUAAUGUUCUAGUAAUGGGACAAUUGCUAUACCACUAUCUAUCCUUUUUGUUAAUGAAUUUACCAAAUAAAAUGUUUAGUGUUGCCAACUUAUGUUAUAGCAGAUAUAUCCAUGAAUUGUAGAAAGAUUGCAAAUCUUUUUUGCAUUAUUUUUAAUUAAUUAUUGAGCAUGCAUCAAAUAAACUGUUCCAAAUAUGAUGGGAUGGAAUUUGAUCACUAAAAAAACAUAGAUGUUAGUGUUGAAUUUCGGGGACGAAAUUCUUAUAAGGUGGGAAGGAUGUAAUAACCCAUAUUUUUGGGUUAUUGAUUUAAGUUAAGAUAAGUAAAUUUUUAUUAUUUUGUUAACAUAAAUAAUUGAGCGAAGAAGACAUGCUAGAUUAUUGUUGCAAGUAAUUAAAUAGAACUGUAAUUUUUGCAUGCGUAAAAUAUUAGAUGGAAAUGGACCAGGUACAAAUGAUAGAUUGGUAGAUAUUUCCAAGUACUAGAAUUCCAAGUCAACUAGGUGCAUGCAUGUCAUGAUGAGAAUGCACACGUAUGUACUGUUCUUGCUAGCUAAGUAAAAAAUCUAUGUGUACGUGGAGGUUGGCGUGGCAUGCAUGUAGUCUCUUGGACAUUCUAGUCCUAUACGUGGGCUCUUCCUAUGGUGCCAGGUUUGAUUAGGCCUUUGCACUAGAUGUAGGGGCAGCAGCCAAAUCAUUUUUUACCUAGCUUCAAGGGCCAAGGGUCAAGCGGCAAGAGUCACUGCGGCUGAGAUAUUUUAGCUAGUGACCGACUGUCAGCUCCUAUAAAUAGAACGCUCCUGCUGCUGCUCAAAGCACAACUCCGAGAGAGAAUUAGAUACUAGAGGGGAGAGUAUGAGAGAGAAAGAGGGUAAGAGAGAUAAAGAAUGCAUGCAUGCGCAUACAUGUUUGAAGUGCUAUGGAGAGAGGUGUCGAGCCAUCUGUCUAAAAAAGAAUAUUAGCAUAUGUAUGGUUCAUCAGAUUUUUAUACGACGGGGUAUUACUUGCUGGCCGAAUAUUAUUCUAGAGGAGAAGUCUUAUUUUCUGAGGCAAGUAGCUACUUUACUAACUCUCAAAUCCGUUAUCUUCCUUUGAUUAUCUGAUUGUAUUGUUGCACCUUGAUCCUUAUUGAUCCUCUCUUGAUCCUUGAGAGAGGGAUGUGUUGUCCUCGUAUUCCAUUUGUUGAUGGAAUCAGAGUAUUUUGGAGGAACUCGUGAGAAGUCAUACGCGUAUUGUCUUUGAUUGAUAUUACUGUGAUUCUACUGUUGAUUCAAACACAUAUCCUAUUUUGUAUUGGUGUCACGACGGCAAACAUAUUGUACCGAUCACAUUUCAGUUAUGGGACUGUCUGAGUUCUCCGCUAAGGACGGACCUUGUUCAGGAACGUGUCGAUGAUGGAUCCGUAGGAGCGAUCGACAUCAGUAGGUCCAGGUGUUCGGGUCUUAGUGGGUACAAGAGCUCUGCUCUUCUGGAACCUGUGUGGUUCUAGUCGAGACUGUCGACGUCGGAGUACCCCUCUUAAGAGCGUAAAAGUGUGAAAUUUCACCCCUGUGACUCCCGGGUUGGAAAGCUUGCGGUCAUGUUUGAUGCCAAUAAUUUCCUUGUUCAUUUCGUCUGUUGAUCUACACCAUCAUACCAUCGCUCCUUGUUGAAUAGUGAAGUAUCUGCUUGCUGAGUAUGAUUUGUCGUACUCACCCUUGCUUCCUUAUUUUUUUUAGAUGCGAACGAUGUAACUUAAGUAUGUUCAGAAGAUGUCUUCAUCCAAGACUAGGCUUGACCAGCGGGUGGGAAGCGACUAGAGAAUAUGAUGUCUUUACUCAACUAUUUGUAGAUGUCAAGGAAUUUGUAUAGCAAAUAUAUUAGCUUUUGUGAUCCACUUCUGGUCUAUGCCUGCUUUAUCAUGCCUUGCGUGACUAUAGGCCUCUGGUCUAUAGGCUCGCGGCGGCUGUCUCGCCUAGGCCCGGUCUCGGGGCAUGACAAUUAAAGUGCAUAUUUUGUAGAACGUAAUGUAUCGGUCAAAGUUCAGGUAUGGGACUGUCUGAGUUCUCCGCUAAGGACGGACCUUGUUCAGGAACGUGUCGGUGAUGGAUCCGUAGGAGCGAUCGACAUCAGUAGGUCCAGGUGCAACAAUAAAAUCAGAUAAUCAAAGGAAGAUAACGGAUUUGAGAGUUAGUAAAGUAGCUACUUGCCUCAGAAAAUAAGACUUCUCCUCUAGAAUAAUAUUCGGCCAGCAAGUAAUACCCCAUCGUAUAAAAAUCUGAUGAACCAUACAUAUGCUAAUAUUCUUCUUUAGACAGAUGGCUCGACACCUCUCUCCAUAGCACUUCAAACAUAUAUGCGCAUGCAUGAAUUCUUCAUCUCUCUUACCCUCUUUCUCUCUCAUACUCUCCUCUCUAGUAUCUAAUUCUCUCUCGGAGUUGUGCUUUGAGCAGCAGCAGGAGCGUUCUAUUUAUAGGAGCUGACAGCCGGUCACUAGCUAAAAUAUCUCAGCCGCAGUGACUCUUGCCGCUUGACCCUUGGCCCUUGAAGCUAGGUAAAAAAUGAUUUGGCUGCUGCCCCUACAGCUAGUGCAAAGGCCUAAUCAAACCUGGCACCAUAGGAAGAGCCCACGUAUAAGACUAGAAUGUCCAAGAGACUACAUGCAUGCCACGCCAACCUCCACGUACACAUAGGUUUUUACUUAGCUAGCAAGAACAGUACAUACAUGUGCAUUCUCAUCAUGACAUGCAUGCACCUAGUUGACUUGGAAUUCUAGUACUCGGAAAUAUCUACCAAUCUAUCAUUUGUACCUGGUCCAUUUCCAUCUAAUAUUUUACGCAUGCAAAAAUUACAGUUCUAUUUAAUUACUUGCAACAAUAAUCUAGCAUGUCUUCUUCGUUCAAUUAUUUAUGUUAACAAAAUAAUAAAUUUACUUAUCUUAAUUUAAAUCAAUAACCUAAAAAUAUGGGUUAUUACAUCCUUCCCACCUUAUAAGAAUUUCGUCCCCAAAAUUAAACACUAACAUCUAUGCUAUUUUUUUUAGUGAUCAAAUUCCCUCCCAUCAUAUUUGGAACAAUUUAUUUGAUGCAUGCUCAAUAAUUAAUUAUAAAAUAAUGCAAAAAAGAUUUGCAAUCUUUCUACAAUUCAUGGAUAUAUCUGCUAUAACAUAAGUUGGCAACACUAAACAUUUUAUUUGGUAAAUUCAUUAACAAAAAGGAUAGAUAGUGGUAUAGCAAUUGUCCCAUUACUAGAACAUUAUUACCGGUUGUCUUAAACAAGAAAAUCUACACAAAUAUUAAGUCAUGUAUUAAUCUAACAAGAUGUCUAUUUAUUUCCCAUGCAUCCUCAAAUUUCAUCAAUAAUGUGUACACUAUAUUUUUUAUUUGCCUGGAUAUCUGGUGAAACUAUUCAUGAGCACCAACACACAAACUAGUUGAGACAAGAUAUGAAAAUAAAAUCUUCAUAGCUGUCACACAACACAAAUAUAUUCGACGAUCUACCCCUUUAUCCCAGCGCAACCUAAAAACCUAGAGCUCUGGUAAACAGUUCCAUCUAGAGUCCAUUGCUUUUGUUGAAUAAUGAAGUAUCUGCUUGCUGAGUAUGAUUUAUCGUACUCACCCUUGUCUCCUCCGUCUUUUUAGAUGCAGCCGAUGUAACUUAAGUAUGCCCAGAACAUGUCAUCCAAGAUUAGGCUGGACCAGUGGGUAGGAAGCGACUAGAGAAUUUAAUGUAGUUUGCCUAUUAGUAAAUGUAAAGAAAUUUGUAAACCAAAUAUAUGAGAUUUUGUGAUCCACUGCUGGUUUACAAUGUAACAACCAUAGAAAUAACAAACAAGGAAACGAACUGAUAACCCUCCUUCUGCACACAUAUACUCAUAUUUUAGUUUAAGAAUUCAUGCAUGCAUCCACAUUUGAAGAAGAAUAGAGCGUUUAGGUGCUGCUGGAGGGAAGAGCCAAGCCAUACAUCAGAAGAAAUAUGAGUAUAUGUGUGUUCGUCAGAUUUUAUACAAAGAUGAUGGAGUUUCAUCUUCUUGCAAAAUAUUAUUCUAAAGAAGAAAUCAUAUUAUCUGAGGCAAGUAGCUGCUUUGCCUAACUCCCCGAUCUCGCUUUAUUGUUGUCUUCUUUGGUUAUCGGUUAAUAUUGUUGCACCUUGAUCCUUAUUGAUCCUCUCUUGAUCCUUGAGAGAGGGAUGUGUUGUCCUCGUAUUCCAUUUGUUGAUGGAAUCAGAGUAUUUUGGAGGAACUCGUGAGAAGUCAUACGCGUAUUGUCUUUGACUGAUAUUACAGUGAUUCUACCAUUGAUUCAAACACAUAUCCUAUUUUGUAUUGGUGUCACGACGGCAAACAUAUUGUACCGGUCACAGUUCAGUUAUGGGACUGUCUGAGUUCUCCUCUAAGGACGGACCUUGUUCAGGAACGUGUCGGCGAUGGAUCCGUAGGAGCGAUCGACAUCAGUAGGUCCAGGUGUUUGGGUCUUAGUGGGUACAAGAG
rnacentral:lncRNA from 1 species